rnacentral:rRNA from 1 species
AUGACAUUGCUACUGGAUAUGAGGCAAUCUGCUCCUUCCAAUCCUGCAUUUGGAGAGCAAUUUGUGGAAGACACUCACCCUUCUAGACACGCCGACGACGCCGAACCUGAAGCCAAGCCUGCAGCCGCACCGUGGCCCAAGCCCGCAUCCACGCUCAACCAUGCAGCUGAGCUCGCAGCCGCGCCAUGGCCUGUGCCCGCAGCUGAGCUCACCGACGAGCGCUCCACAAUCGCGCUGUUCCCGCUGCCGUGCCUUGGCUACCAUCCCCAGCCCCGCCUUGGCCGCCCUCUGCCGUGCCUGGGUUGCCGUCCGCCGCUGUGCUUGCUCCGACCCCUGCAGCCGUGCCUGAGCCGCCACCCGCAGCCACCUGUUGGUCCAUGGCCCCUCAGCUCACGCCACCGCCACGAGCCAGCCCUCCGCCGCCGCUGCUAG